GGGGAUCCGGAGAAGAGUUGACUUUUCUUCGUAAGAGUUCGUGUCCCUGGAAUCUCGUCACGAGGAGAUAGGGACGCUGUUCUCGGUAAGACCACGGUCGCUGCUGCCUUGUCCGGUGCGCCUCCGCCAGUCCUUGAAAAGGGGGAGUGAUUUUCGUGCCGGUCCGUACCCAUAUCCGCAGCAGGUCUCCAAGGUGAACAGCUCUAGUCUCUAGAAUAAUGUAGGUAAGGGAAGUCGUCAAGUUCGAUCCCUAACUUCGGGAAAAGGAUUGGCUCUUGUGUUUCGGUCCUCGUGGACCUCUUUUGCCAAAGCCGUUUUUUCUACAGUGGGGACUGACUGCUCACGAGGGUGGUCGGACCUCGCGGCGGAGAGACGGAAGAGGAAAGAGGGUGCGCUUUCUCAUUUAAAAGAGUUGGUGUUGUACCACGGGACAUGGAGGAAACGAACAAGAACUGGCACGGACUAGGGAAUCCGACUGUCUAAUUAAAACAAAGCAUUGCGACGGCCGGAGAACGGUGUUGACGCAUUGUGAUUUCUGCCCAGUGCUUUGAAUGUCAAAGUGAAGGAAUUCAAUGAAGCGCGGGUAAACGGAGGGAGUAACUAUGACUCUCUUAAAGUAGCCAAACGCCUAGUCAUCUAAUUAGUGACGCGCAUGAAUGGAUUAACGAGAUUCCCGCUGUCCCUAUCUACUAUCUAGCGAAACCACAGCCAAGGGAACAGGCUUGGCGAAUUCAUCGGGGAAAGAAGACCCUUUCGAACGUGACUGUAAGCCUGACUCUGUGGCGAGGCAUUAUUGGCGUAGUCUAGGUGGAGUCUCAUACGAGGUGGAAUUGUGAAAUACCACUACUUUGAUAGCCUUGUUACUGAUUCGGUGAUGCUCUUUGUUCCCCUAUGGGGGUAGAUUUAUUAUGUGAUUUGUAAUCACCAGGAAUGAACUGGCUGGGAAGAGCUCCGAAGAUGGUGUCAGCAGGCAGUUUGUCUGAGGCGGAACAUCUGUCAAAAGGCAACGCAGGUGUCCCAAGGCCGGCUCGGCCGCGGACGGAAACCUGACUUAGAGCAAAGGGGCAAAAGCCGGCUCGGUCUCGUUCUUCAGUAAGGAAGGGGACCUCGAAAGAAAGGCCCAUCGAUCCUUUCGAUUCGCUGUGAGAGUCUCACGCGAGAGGUGUCAGAAAAGUUACCGGAGGGAUAA